rnacentral:lncRNA from 1 species
AGAGGUUCCCAAAAUAAAUAGUGUACUUUCGAGUCGAGUGAAUUCAAAAUAUAGACACCUCUUCCAAUCUUUCUUCUCCUGGCCUAUCCCAAAAAAAAAAUAAAAAUUCAAUACUUCUUAGUUGUGAAUAUCUGAAUAGGACAAACCGCCCCGUGGAUCUCUUUGCUUCGGAACAAAACAAUUCGAAUUAGGCUCGGUCAACUGGAAUGUAUAUUAUCGAUAUAAGGGAUUUUUCAAGUGAGAAGAUCCAUCG